GACGAACGCUGGCGGCGUGCUUAACACAUGCAAGUCGAACGUGAUUUUUGUGGAAAUUCUUUCGGGAAUGGAAAUGAAAUGAAAGUGGCGAACGGGUGAGUAACACGUGAGCAACCUACCUUACACAGGGGGAUAGCCGUUGGAAACGACGAUUAAUACCGCAUGAGACCACAGAAUCGCAUGAUAUAGGGGUCAAAGAUUUAUCGGUGUAAGAAGGGCUCGCGUCUGAUUAGCUAGUUGGAAGGGUAAAGGCCUACCAAGGCGACGAUCAGUAGCCGGUCUGAGAGGAUGAACGGCCACAUUGGAACUGAGACACGGUCCAAACUCCUACGGGAGGCAGCAGUGGGGAAUAUUGCACAAUGGGGGGAACCCUGAUGCAGCGACGCCGCGUGAGNGAAGAAGGUUUUCGAAUCGUAAAGCUCUGUCCUANGAGAAGAUAANGACGGU
rnacentral:rRNA from 1 species